rnacentral:rRNA from 1 species
GACGAACGCUGGCGGCGUGCUUAACACAUGCAAGUCGAACGGAAAGGCCCUGCUUUUGUGGGGUGCUCGAGUGGCGAACGGGUGAGUAACACGUGAGUAACCUGCCCUUGACUUUGGGAUAACUUCAGGAAACUGGGGCUAAUACCGGAUAGGAUCUCCUGCUGCAUGGUGGGGGUUGGAAAGUUUCGGCGGUUGGGGAUGGACUCGCGGCUUAUCAGCUUGUUGGUGAGGUAGUGGCUUACCAAGGCUUUGACGGGUAGCCGGCAUGAGAGGGUGACCGGGCACAAUGGGACUGAGAUACGGCCCAGACGCCAACGGGAGGCAGCAGUGGGGAAUAUGGCACAGUGGGCGGAAGCCUGAUGCGGCAACGCCGCGUGCGGGAUGACGGGCUUCGGGGUGUAAACCGAUUUCGCCUGUGACGAAGCGUGAGUGACGGUAAUGGGUAAAGAAGCACCGGCUAACUACGUG